GACAGAGGAUGCAAGCGUUAUCCGGAAUGAUUGGGCGUAAAGGGUGCGUAGGCGGCGCGGUAAGUCGGGUGUGAAAUUUCGGAGCUUAACUCCGAAACUGCAUUCGAUACUGCCGUGCUUGAGGACUGGAGAGGAGACUGGAAUUUACGGUGUAGCGGUGAAAUGCGUAGAUAUCGUAAGGAAGACCAGUGGCGAAGGCGGGUCUCUGGACAGUUCCUGACGCUGAGGCACGAAGGCCAGGGGAGCAAACGGG
rnacentral:rRNA from 1 species